rnacentral:lncRNA from 1 species
ACUUUGGUUCCAUUUCCGACCACUUUGGGUCCAUUUCUGACCAUUUUGGCUCCAUUUCUGUCCACUUUGGUUCCAUUCCCGACCACAUCUCAGCCCCACAUCUCAGCCCCACAACCUCCGCUAUGGGGCAGCCCCACAUCUCUGCCCCUCAGCCCCACAUUUCUGCCCCAUAGAUCUCCCAGCCCCACAUCUCAACCCCGCAACCUCCGCUGUUGGGCAGCCCCAUAUCUCAGCCCCACAUCUCCGCCCCAUAGAUCCCCCAGCCCCAUAUCUCCGCCCCAUAGAUCCCCCAGCCCCACAUCUCAGCCCCACAUCUCCACCCCAUAGAUCCCCCAGCCCUACAUCUCCACCCCACAGAUCCCCCAGCCCCACCUCU